GCGCAGCAGUCGCGCAACCUCUGCAAUACGCGAAAGCGUGACAGGGCUACCCCGAGUGCCGUCCGCUGAGGAUGGCUUUUCUCCGGUGUAGUAAGCCGGGGGAAUAAGGAGAGGGCAAGUCUGGUGUCAGCCGCCGCGGUAAUACCAGCUCUCCGAGUGGUAGGGACGAUUAUUGGGCUUAAAGCGUCCGUAGCCGGCCCAGCAAGUUUCCCGUUAAAUCCAACGAUUCAAUCGUUGGACUGCGGGAGAUACUGUUCGGCUAGGAGGCGAGAGAGGCCAACGGUACUCCCGGAGUAGGGGUGAAAUCCUAUAAUCCCGGGAGGACCACCAGUGGCGAAGGCUGUCGGCUAGAACGCGCUCGACAGUGAGGGACGAAAGCUGGGGGAGCGAACCGGAUUAGAUACCCGUGUAGUCC
rnacentral:rRNA from 1 species